rfam:Picea glauca, whole genome shotgun sequence.
GAAAUGUUUAUAGAGGUUGUUAUGAAUUUACUCGUUGUUGUAUAAAUUUUAUAUGAAAUCCCAAUUUAAAUAGGAAGGGUGCACUCUGCAUGAAUUUCAAAAGAGAAUUGGGUUAAUAUUUCCGAACCGGGACAUGGUUGUGGACGACAAUGUUAGGAAAUCUGGAGAUGUCAUCGAGGGCCUGGGAAGAGUUAUAUUUUCUUUUUAACGACUUUACCACCCUGAAAUCAGUUCAACCGGAUAUAGGGUCCAACAUCUGGAAGAUCACCACACGUCUUGCGGUGUUUGGUUCCCCCUCAACAACCAUUGAAAAUAUGGAGAACCGGGUACUAUCCAUGCCCAAUCAUACUCAUAUCUGCCUCCUUGGAUU